UGCUUAGUCAGCAUCCCCUCAGGAGGACAG
rnacentral:piRNA from 1 species